rnacentral:lncRNA from 1 species
UUACUCCUUUUAAUAUGUCCUUCUACAUUCUUAUAAUCAAGCACAAAGUGCAGUUAUUUAAUUCUCUAGUAAAAUGUCAUCUGCAGGGUAAUAUCCAUAUUUCGAACUAAUGGAAAAAUACUGUGCAAUGGGGAGAUGAAGAUAGUACCCGUGGCUCCGUCAAAGGGUGACUCUGACAUUUGCUGUUACCCAUUGCUUCAAAUUAGGUCUGACUGCUCCAGCUGUCAUCUCACCUGCUGGCUCCCUUAAUUUUAGUCUCUAGCCCUUCCCUACUGGAACUUGAAAUACUAAAGGGAACGGUUAAGAAGUUUAAUUCCUGGACCGGAGCGCCCCCUAGGCACACCGAGCUAAACUGUGACGCGCUUCAUCUGACUCAGGAUUCUGGGAAGUUGAUGUCCAGGGUCAGCAUCGGAUCCUUGAACUUCCCGGCAAUAUUCAGCAGCCGCGGUGAGUGCACAGGGACAGAAGAACCAUCACUUAAUAAAAAGCACUGUUAGAGCCGGCCAGUGUGGCACUCACCUUUAAACCCAGCAUUUGAGAGGCAGAGACCGGAGAAUCUCUGAGUUCGA